GACGAACGCUGGCGGCGUGCUUAACACAUGCAAGUCGAACGGAAAGGCCUCUUUCUUGGGGUACUCGAGUGGCGAACGGGUGAGUAACACGUGAGUAACCUGCCCUUGACUUUGGGAUAACUUCAGUAAACUGGGGCUAAUACCGGAUAGGAGCUCCUUCUGCAUGGUUGGUUUUGUAAAGUUUCGGCGGUUGGGGAUGGACUGGUGGCUUAUCAGCUUAUUGUUGGGGUAUUGGCUUACCAAGGCGUUGACGGGUAGCCGGACUGUGAGGGUGAGACGCCAUACUGAGACUGAGAGAAGGCCGAGACACGUAAGGUAGGGAGAAGGGGGGAAUAUUGACCAAGGGGUGGCAGCCUGAUGCAGAAACGCCGCGGGCGGGAUGACUCUGUUCGGGUUGAAAAACGAUUUUGCUCAUGACGAAGCUUUGUGUGACGGUAGUGGGUAAAGAAGCACCGGCUAACUACGUG
rnacentral:rRNA from 1 species